rnacentral:rRNA from 2 species
AGACCCGAAACCCGGUGAUCUAGCCAUGGGCAGGUUGAAGGUUGGGUAACACUAACUGGAGGACCGAACCGACUAAUGUUGAAAAAUUAGCGGAUGACCUGUGGCUGGGGGUGAAAGGCCAAUCAAACCGGGAGAUAGCUGGUUCUCCCCGAAAGCUAUUUAGGUAGCGCCUCGUGAAUUCAUCUCCGGGGGUAGAGCACUGUUUCGGCUAGGGGGCCAUCCCGGCUUACCAACCCGAUGCAAACUGCGAAUACCGGAGAAUGUUAUCACGGGAGACACACGGCGGGUGCUAACGUCCGUCGUGAAGAGGGAAACAACCCAGACCGCCAGCUAAGGUCCCAAAGUCAUGGUUAAGUGGGAAACGAUGUGGGAAGGCCCAGACAGCCAGGAUGUUGGCUUAGAAGCAGCCAUCAUUUAAAGAAAGCGUAAUAGCUCACUGGUCGAGUCGGCCUGCGCGGAAGAUGUAACGGGGCUAAACCAUGCACCGAAGCUGCGGCAGCGAACGUAUCACCCAAGACAACUUUACGGAGUUGACGAUUGACGGAGCGAAGCGACGUCAAAGCGUUCAUUAAAGUCGAGUUGGCUUAGGGGUACGUUCGUUGGGUAGGGGAGCGUUCUGUAAGCCUGUGAAGGUGUGUCGUGAGGCAUGCUGGAGGUAUCAGAAGUG